GUUGGAUUUCAAUCUGUGAUUUGGGUGUCAACUGAAUCUCUCAUUGGUUCAGAGUUUAAUCUGAUCCGAGCUGAUCUUUUGGGGACAAUUUUUUGUUUGAAAAGUUGGAAAAUUUUAGUACAAUUUGCACGUAAUGAAUCCUACUCCCCUGUGGCGUGGAUCUUCACUUUCGGAUGCAUUUUAAUUUAAAAUUAAAAAUCCUAAUUGGCUUAAAAGUUUUUCACUAAAUUGGAAAAAUAAGUUUUCGUGUUUUUAAAUUUUUCAAAAAGAAGGUCACAAGUUAACUUCGCAUUUUUAUUACAAUUUAUUUCACACAAAAUUGUAAAAUCUCAUUUGUGCAGAUUUUAUUCUGAUCCGAGCUGAUCUUUUGGGGAAACUUUUUGUUUGCAAAGUUUGAAAAUUUUUGGUGACCGAAAUCUGACCUCUCUCUCCAUCCGCACCUCUCCUCUGCGUCAUCUGGUCUCUAAUGUAGCCCUCCAUCUUGCUCGUGUGAUGGUUGUAGGGGUGUGGCUG